CAGUUUGGUGCAUAGACAGUUUAGCAAGGUGGAUGUGGGACUCGCUGGAUGGUCAUCACCAAAAAGCCAGUGCAAUGCCUCAUGAUUUACUCUAAUAUCAUCAGGACACAGCAAAAAUACCUCAAAUUAAACAUCUAUGAAAAAAAAACAGACUAAUGAAAUUGGAGAGCAUUCAAACUCCUCUGAAGUUCAUUCCUGAGACCUGUUAGUCUCCAAGACAGAAAGCAAGCAGGAGGGAGAAAGUGGCUAAGACAAGUCUGAGAAAGGAGAAAUCAUGAUUAAGAAGAAAAAAAGGAGGAUAAUAUUUUCAAGGUGGAAAAGUUAACAG